UCAAAAUAAUCUUCCUGCUCUUCGUCUUCGAUGUCCACUUUUCCUUCGUCCUUAUCAAUUUCGGGUUUCCUUCCUUUCUUUAUCUUCGUUCGCAUCACAUCGUGCUGUAACUCGUCGUCAGAUAGAUCAACUUCAUUGUUGUAAGAGUUAGGAUCUAGAUCAUCAGUGCUGUUCAAAGCUUCCUGAUUCUUUUUCGAUCGCCCUUUAACCACGUUGGCAAUUUUGUCGUCCACCUUGCCCCGAUUUUUCUUCUUCACAAACUUCAUCAAAUCGUCCCAAGUGUCGUGAUUGUACUCCGUAACGGACGAAACAAAUUUGAAGUUGUUGUCAAAAUCUCCUUUUUUCUGGUUCUUCAGCUUGGUUGGUUGAUACUGAAAGGUGUAGAAUGGUAGUAUGAAUUUCAAAUAAAUUUUAAAUCUAACGAAUUUAACAAUUUUAUCAUAUUAAAUAUUAUCAAAAAAAUAAUCGACUACUGGGCAUGGCUUUAUGGAACGAUAGGUCCGAGCCAAUAUAUACAGAGAAAAAAAAAGACUACUGGGCAAACAGAAUGUUAUGAUCUCCGACUCGAUCCGGCGAAGAAAAGCUUAUAGAACAUUGUGAUAGGUUCACAUUCGACUAUUGCCUGGUAGUUUAAUGUUAAUUGUUAGAAGUCCUUAAUUUUUUUCCUUGGCCGUUUUUGAAUUUUUACUACUGUGAUUAAGAAGUCAUUUUUAUAACACCACCUUCUCUUUAAACAAAUUAUAAAAAUCAUUCGGUGUUUAUCCCCCUUUAUCCCUCUUUAGGCAUAGGUACAAGAAAUGGAUCAGUUUCAACUCACCUCGACUUCGACGUCGGAAUCCUCCGAAAAGUCCUGUACUUCAUCGGUUUCGUUGAUGGUUUUUAUUAAAUCCAGACUAUUUUGCUCCUUGCCGGGCACCGGGUCUACGGUUUUAGCAUCCACGGACGCUUUCAUUUUGGGAUUUUUAAAUCGCAUCCUCGCUUGCUGCUUGCCGAGCACGUGUGUUUACAAAAUUUUUGAAACCGCAACUGGCGGCGAGAUGGACCGAAUUUUGACUGACAGAUACCCUGUCAGGAAGGUUUGCUCAAUCGGGCCGAUUGCAAAACAGAGAUGGCGGCACUCGAAUUCUAGCGGUUAGAAUUCGGUACAUUUUCGGCUCGAUUUCCAUCCGUCUGCUCGAUUGCUCGAAAUCUAAACGGUAUGUUUAUUUUUUGCAAAGCGCAUCGGCUGUACGAAAACGAACCAACGAGAAAACUGUCGUGUCGGUCUGGUUUCGUCGCAAUGCGAAUCAUUAUAAUACUGAAAAUAAAUGGAAAAUUACAGUUUUCUUUAUCAGUUUUUGUUAUAUUAUUGUUUGCUGAGGGCGGAAAGUCUAUCAGCUGGUAUCAACGGGUCACUUUAUUAAGUUUAUAGGUCGUAAGCCGAAAUUGAAUAUUCGAAUGGGUAAGUCGAAGCCGCCAUUUGCGGAAAGUCACAGAAAAAUCCCCUGCUAAAUUUUCUUAUUUUUAUUUUAGACAGCGGAAAUGCUCUCUUGCUUGGAAGCAUGGAACUGUUCCAAGCGGCAGGAAAUCAGUACCGCACCCAAAUUAUAUUGCCGAGUAGAACGAUACUUUCAUUUUUUUAACUACAAAUUUUGUUAAUACAAAGAUCGCACUCUUCUGGAACAAUUCCAGCGGAUCAAUUGUCUGGACUCAAGUUAAACUACAUGACGGUGGUUCUGUUUGCCUGCAACCUCUGACCUGAAUUCGGAUAAUAUGAGCGUAUUGUUUCGGCGCGGUGAAGCCAACAAUCAGCUGGAGAACUACGAGCUGGCCAUCGACGAUUUGCACCGGGCUCAAGACCAGAUGUUAUGUCGGACAAUCAGCAUUAGGAUUCGUAAAUUUUGCAGAACAAGGAAAAGAGCGAAUCGAAGGAAAACGCAGCGAUUGCCAAACGCGAUUCUGAGUCAGAAUAAUCGGCUAAAGUUUCACUGUUUGAUUUCCUGGUAGAUAUCCUGCCAUGAUAUAUAAAUAUGAAGAUAUAUGAUCUCGGAGAAAAAAGACGACUGUUGUUCCUAUUAUUCCAGCUAGUUGAAUGAAUCAUCUAAGUGUAGUUGAUUAUUUUGCAUUUAACUAUAAAUAUAAAAUAUUCAACUACAAACUGCUAAUUGGCUUUAGGCAACCAAUCGUAAAUAUAAUAGAUUCAACUGAAGAUGGUUCAAUCAAAAAUCUGAUAGAUUUUACUACAAUUGUAUGAUUGAUUUUAGGCAUUCAACUAUAAAUUUGUGAUUGAACUUCUGCAUUAAAGUAUAGAUAUGAUAGAUUCCACUGCAAGGAUCUAAUUGAUUUUACUUUAAAUAUAACAUAUUACACUACAAUUGUAUGAUUGAUUUCGGGUACACAAGUAUAAAUGUGAUACAUUUAACAAUAUUUUAUGAUAAAUUGUGAUAAUACUUUUUUUAAUUAGAAACAUUUUUCUUAACGAUGAGCAUUCUUCCAUGAGCGUGUAGUGGGUGCUGACGGUGUACAGGAAAAAAAACAACCAGAAAACGAUGGCGGGUCCCUGGCAGAUGUGUUCGCAAUCAUUGGACGUGCUAGCAACAGCAGGCUACAUCGAAUUCUCCGUUUCUCAGUACCGGGAACCGGCGAAGAUAACUACAAAAAAUAUCGAUGCACUGACUGCUGGCCAAACUGAAGAAAUUCCGGCAAGAUUCGACCCAUCCCAACCCAGUUAAUAAUGAUCCCGAAUGCUGAUCCAGCUGGAGAACCAGUGAACCAACACCUCAACUCAUUCCAAAAUAUGUUACUUGGCCGGAUGAGAACGAAAUGCCAUAUCUCACCCGGAAAUGAAGAAGGCUUUCGUUCCCGCUUACCAUCAGGCAUUUCAAUAUUUUCACAAGAUUUCCGGGAGGAAGCGAAAUGCGGAUGGUAAAACAGAGGAAGUUUUGGAUGUUCCCUCACCCAAAAAGGCUGAAGUAAAUGCGACAGGUUUAAAGUUGUUUCUUGGCCUACUGCCCACCGCCAAAUAGAACAACAAGAAAGUCAAUGGCUGAAAUGAUCAGGUACCUAAAGAUAUUCCGGUCGCAAGAUGUCAUGCUUAUCAGACAACACAUUUCUGAUUUGGGACAAACACCGCAGCCUCGACAAUCCGGCGGUAUAGUCACACACCACGACGAUAUAGUCACCCGAUUGAAAAACGUCCAACUGAUAGAACUGGGCAAGUAUCGCAUCAAACCUGGGCAUCAAUAGAAUUCCUACCUAAAAAGCUAGGUUUUGUGAAAUGAGAAAAAAAAACAAAACAACAAUGUAUCAUUGAAUUCAAAAUU